CAACCAGCUGCCUCCAGUAUACAGUAUCAAUUUGAAUUUGUGCAGGGCAUUUCCAAUACACUAUUCAACCAGAAAAAAAAUGCAUCUUGAGACCAUUUAUCAUAUAACAUGUCAACGGUUGCACCACGUUCGACCUCACAACCCAUUGUAAUAAAAUAUUAAGCAUUUUCCAGUUUUAAGCAAACACAGCAACUGAUCGAGUAUCCAGAAAUUUCAGUGUGGAACACGGUAAACUGAAUGGAAAUCCUAACUUUGUGUGAAACACCAGACAUCAAUCAUCACCUUCUUCAUUAAAUGGAAUUUCCUUUAAGAAGACAGUUCAAUUCUACUGUGUUAAUGUACUUUUUCAAUUGUACAACGCUGUGGCAGCAGCUUAUGCUGCUAAAAUAUCCAAUGACAGGUCGAAUGAAAGCCAAACUAUAUCGAACAAA